rnacentral:rRNA from 1 species
GUUGGGCGGGUGCUUACCUGCAAGUCGAACGAUGAUCCGGUGCUUGCACCGGGGAUUAGUGGCGAACGGGUGAGUAACACGUGAGUAACCUGCCCUUAACUCUGGGAUAAGCCUGGGAAACUGGGUCUAAUACCGGAUAUGACUCCUCAUCGCAUGGUGGGGGGUGGAAAGCUUUAUUGUGGUUUUGGAUGGACUCGCGGCCUAUCAGCUUGUUGGUGAGGUAAUGGCUCACCAAGGCGACGACGGGUAGCCGGCCUGAGAGGGUGACCGGCCACACUGGGACUGAGACACGGCCCAGACUCCUACGGGAGGCAGCAGUGGGGAAUAUUGCACAAUGGGCGCAAGCCUGAUGCAGCGACGCCGCGUGAGGGAUGACGGCCUUCGGGUUGUAAACCUCUUUCAGUAGGGAAGAAGCGAAAGUGACGGUACCUGCAGAAGAAGCGCCGGCUAACUACGUGCCAGCAGCCGCGGUAAUACGUAGGGCGCAAGCGUUAUCCGGAAUUAUUGGGCGUAAAGAGCUCGUAGGCGGUUUGUCGCGUCUGCCGUGAAAGUCCGGGGCUCAACUCCGGAUCUGCGGUGGGUACGGGCAGACUAGAGUGAUGUAGGGGAGACUGGAAUUCCUGGUGUAGCGGUGAAAUGCGCAGAUAUCAGGAGGAACACCGAUGGCGAAGGCAGGUCUCUGGGCAUUAACUGACGCUGAGGAGCGAAAGCAUGGGGAGCGAACAGGAUUAGAUACCCUGGUAGUCCAUGCCGUAAACGUUG